rnacentral:rRNA from 1 species
UACGUAGGGUGCGAGCGUUGUCCGGAAUUAUUGGGCGUAAAGAGCUUGUAGGCGGUCUGUCGCGUCUGCUGUGAAAAUCCGGGGCUCAACCCCGGACUUGCAGUGGGUACGGGCAGACUAGAGUGUGGUAGGGGAGACUGGAAUUCCUGGUGUAGCGGUGAAAUGCGCAGAUAUCAGGAGGAACACCGAUGGCGAAGGCAGGUCUCUGGGCCACUACUGACGCUGAGAAGCGAAAGCAUGGGGAGUGAACAGG